AGACCUCUUGGCAUUUGGGACAAUACAGGGGAGCCAGGCAGGAGCUGAGCGAGUCCGAAGUGUAAAUAAAUCGUAGUUUAUAUGCACUAAUGGGUUUAAAAGAGGCCUGACCUGUUGGACUAUAGGAAGCUUCCUCUCUCAGGGGACCCAGGCCUAUUUUGAUAGCUGAGCCAUGCAGGUAAGGCAGGUAGGAUAAGGCGGCUGCAGGGACUGCACUUGGGAGAGGGUGCACAUCCAGCACACGAGCAGGGAGGCUUCCUGGAUGGCACCAACACCCCACACAUCCUAAGCACAGAGACAUCGGCUCAGUUAGUGGAUCAAUGGGGAGACAGCAGUGGCAUGGUCACGUUCACUAGCUCAGUGGUGGCCUUUUGGAAGUGGAACCCCCUCUCUGGGCCGGGUCUGUAUAAUUGGUUUCAUAACUCUGUCCCACACUGUGACAAUGGGAUAAAGGCCUCAUGUACAAUACACAUAUUUAUGAGCACCCUAAGCAUGAAAAGAAACAGGCUUUCCGCCACACCAGCUGGAUGCUCCUCGGGGCCAGCCCUGAGCUCAGCCUGCCCAGCCCUGGCAUGGGGCCAGCCUAUGGAAACAGGACUUGACCAUCAAAUGGUGAAUCCCGCUGGCCCCCACAUCCUCCAAGGGCCUGUUUGCGUGUCCUCCAGGCAACAGCCACCAACAGCUGUGCAGACAGGCAGGCCCAGGCCUGGCAGUGUGGGUGGGCCGCAGCACAGUAAGAAGAGGGCCCCCUACAACAGGCCACAGCUGUGCCCCUCUAACCCCAGAGACGGGGGCACCACUGUGGUCAUUCAAGUGACUCUGCACAGGUGACUACGGAAACGGGGACACACAUGGACCCUCCGUGGGCCCAGGUCACUGAAUAGUAUCAUGAACAGAGUCCCUUCCCCAUCACCUGCUUGGAUAUGUCAUGGGCAACAAAUAAACCUUUUGUUGAGGACAGAGAGACCAAGAGGACGUUUGUUAUUGCAGCCUAACCUACCUGUAUCCUUCCCGACGGGCCCAUUCUUGUGGAUGAUGGACAAUGGGCAAACUUGCCAUCCUGCUUCAGAUCAGAACACAGCUCCUCCAUCACCCCACCUGGGAGCCGCUGAGACGCCAAACCUUCACCCAAAGGCGCCAGAGGACACACAGCGCCUGAGCACCAGCCUUGCCAGCGUUGAGGAGGCUCAGAGCCCUGGUGUCCUCGCCCACAAUCGAGCAGCACCAGGUUCAAAUCCUGGCUCCUCAGCCCCACACAGCAUGCUGUGGGCACCAGCUCAUGUGCAGUAAGAUGGGGACAACCUGUCCUCCCUGCCUCACGGGCUGCAAGAGGACAGAGAGGCCCAGGGGUCAGUGGUGGGGAUGGGGAAUCCCCUGGUUUGAGCCUCACAUCACCUGGAGUUGGAAUCCGGCCCUGCCCCUUACUGGGUGAUCUUAGGCAAGUCACACAACCUCUCUGUACCUCAGUUUCCCCUGUCUGAAACACUCCAUCACAGCUUUUCUCUUAUAGUUACUAUGAGAAUUAAAUGAGCUAAUACAUGCACAGGGGUCUGGAACAGACCCUGGCACACAGCAAGUGCUCAAUAAAUGUUUACUGCCUGGCAUGUCAGUGUUGGUGAGAGCAUUAUCUGGGACAACCAAGGACACGGGUUCCCCUUUGGGCUCCCCCAGGGAACCAGCCUCACUGAAGGCGCCAGGUGCUCUGAUUUGCCCUUAAAGGCAAGAAUUAGGUAGCAGAGGGGUUCUGCCGGUGGCAAGACAUGAACACAGAUGGGCUGAGGCUUCUGGCGAGUCCCUGGGUCCCCAGGCCCUGGCAGGGGCUGGCAGAGACAGCAGGCAUUCCCCCCGGCCGAGC